GCAGCGGUAGUUCAGUGGCAGAAUUCUCACCUUCCAUGAGUAGACCUGGGUUCGAUUCUCAGUCAAUGCU
rnacentral:tRNA from 1 species